CUACACGGGUAUCUAAUCCUGUUUGCUCCCCCAGCUUUCGUGCCUGAGCGUCAGGACUCGUUUAGGGCGCUGCUUACGCCGUCGGUGUUCCUCCGGAUCUCUACGCAUUUCACCGCUCCACCCGGAAUUCCACGCCCCUCCCCGAGCCUCAAGCCCGCCAGUUUGCGCGGCACCCUCCCAGGUAAGCCGGGAGAUUUCACCGCACACCUAACGGGCCGCCUGCGCACCCUUUACGCCCAGUAACUCCGGACAACGCUCGCCUCCUACGUAUUACCGCGGCUGCUGGCAC
rnacentral:rRNA from 1 species